UGAAAGUGAAGUCGCUCAGUCAUGUCCGACCCUCAGCGACCCCAUGGACUGCAGCCCACCAGGCUCCUCCGUCCAUGGGAUUUUCCAGGCAAGAUGGCUGGAAUAUGGACCCAGAAAGUGUGGUGUUGAGUUUUCUUCAAUCUCAUAGACAAGGGCAUCAAGAUAAAGGUGAUUUGCAUCCCCGACUAAAGCAGAGCCACCCUGUCCACCAUGAAUGCUUAAACACCUGCUGAAGCUGAAGAGAGAACUCCUGUGUUUAAGCACCUGUUACUGUGGGUCUUUGUUAAAGAACUGCAUCCUAGCUAGUACAGACAUUCAUUUCAACAUUGUGCUGUUCUGCACAAAUAUCCGUUUGCUUAAUCCUCAUCCUAGGAGCACCUCCAUCACCUCCGCUUAAUAGAUGGGGAGAGAGGCUGAAAGGAGCUGCUGGGAAGGGCAGAGCGGGCUGGCACUUGAGCUGAGACCAUUUGGCUUCAGGUGACCCAUCCUGACACAAGGCAUUUUCCCACCUUUGUGACCCCCUGGGUGGGGCUGUUGGGUCCUUUGUCACGGAGCCCCUCACACAAACACCUCAAGGGCUCCAGCGAGGGCUCUGGGGAGGGCAGCAACCCCACCAGAGUCUCUUGCUCCUCCCAGCAGGCAGCUGACAGAUACCACUUCCCUCGCCCUCCCCAUCUGGAAGACAGGAAACUGG
ensembl:lncRNA